rnacentral:rRNA from 1 species
UACGAAGGGGGCAAGCGUUGUUCGGAUUUACUGGGCGUAAAGGGCGCGUAGGCGGCCUGAAAAGUUGGAUGUGAAAGCCCUGGGCUCAACCCAGGAAUAGCAUUCAAAACUGUCAGGCUCGAGUGUGGAAGAGGAUGGUGGAAUUUCCAGUGUAGAGGUGAAAUUCGUAGAUAUUGGAAAGAACACCCGUGGCGAAGGCGUCCAUCUGGUCCACAACUGACGCUGAGGCGCGAAAGCGUGGGGAGCAAACAGG